rnacentral:rRNA from 1 species
AUACGGAGGGUGCAAGCGUUAAUCGGAAUUACUGGGCGUAAAGCGCGCGUAGGCGGCUUAUUAAGUCAGAUGUGAAAUCCCCGGGCUCAACCUGGGAACUGCAUCUGAUACUGGUAAGCUAGAGUUUUGGAGAGGGAAGUAGAAUUUCAGGUGUAGCGGUGAAAUGCAUAGAGAUCUGAAGGAAUACCAGUGGCGAAGGCGACUUCCUGGCCAAAAACUGACGCUGAGGUGCGAAAGCGUGGGUAGCAAACGGGAUUAGAAACCCCAGUAGUCC